GAUGAACGCUGGCGGCGUGCCUAACACAUGCAAGUCGAGCGAGGGUUUGCUCAGUAUUGAGUAUUCUAAGUCUAGAAUGUUCAAUUCUGAGCAAAACCAAGCGGCGGACGGGUGAGUAACGCGUGGGUAACCUGCCCUAUACACAUGGAUAACAUACUGAAAAGUUUACUAAUACAUGAUAAUAUAUAUUUGUGGCAUCGCAGAUAUAUCAAAGUGUUAGCGGUAUAGGAUGGACCCGCGUCUGAUUAGCUAGUUGGUGAGAUAACUGCCCACCAAGGCGACGAUCAGUAGCCGACCUGAGAGGGUGAUCGGCCACAUUGGAACUGAGACACGGUCCAAACUCCUACGGGAGGCAGCAGUGGGGAAUAUUGCACAAUGGGCGAAAGCCUCAUGCAGCAACGCCGCGUGAACGAUGAAGGUCUUCGGAUCGUAAAGUUCUGUUGCAGGGGAAGAUAAUGACGGUACCCUGUGAGGAAGCCCCG
rnacentral:rRNA from 1 species